rnacentral:rRNA from 1 species
AUUAUAAAUUAGGUAGUAAAGAUUUAUCUGAAACCUAAAGAAUUUGGCGGUAUUUUAAAUAAUUGGAGGAACCUGUUUUUUAAUUGAUAUUCCACAUCAUAUCUUACCUCAUUUUUGCUUGUAUAUCGUUGUUUUUAGAUAAUGUUUAUUAACUAUAAUCAAAAUUAAAAGUUUUUAAGAAAUCAAAUCAAGGUGCAGCUUAUUGAGGAUAAAAUGGGUUACAAUAUAAAUUAUAUAUAACGGAUCUAAUUGAAAACUAAUUUGAAGGCGGAUUCAAAAGUAAUUUAAAAUUAAUAAGUUUAUUUGAAUAAUAAUUUAAAAUAUGC